rnacentral:rRNA from 1 species
UACGAAGGGGGCUAGCGUUGCUCGGAAUUACUGGGCGUAAAGCGCGCGUAGGCGGCUUUGUAAGUUAGAGGUGAAAGCCCGGAGCUCAACUCCGGAACUGCCUUUAAAACUGCAUCGCUUGAAUCCAGGAGAGGUAAGUGGAAUUCCGAGUGUAGAGGUGAAAUUCGUAGAUAUUCGGAAGAACACCAGUGGCGAAGGCGGCUCACUGGACUGGUAUUGACGCUGAGGUGCGAAAGCGUGGGGAGCAAACAGG